rnacentral:lncRNA from 1 species
UGUGAAUUUACUUUGACGUCUGGCCAGAAGGACCCAGAGCAGGUAGAGGAAAUGCCUUCCACCCCUACACCGUCCAGCGUCUGAACGCCCGCUGGGGGGGGCAUCUGCCAGCAGCUGGGGGCCGCCGCGGAGAGACCCCGCCCUCCUCGGCGCGCAGCGCGGUCCGCCCACCCGACGGCCAGGCAGACGGCGCGGCGGCGUCAGCACCGCGGACAGCGGCCUCCUGGCGGGGCGGGGCGGGGCGGGGCGGGGCGGGGCGGGGUCGCCGGGAGGGGCCGCUGCACUGUGGGAGGCGUCGUCGCGGCGGCGGGGGUCGCCGGGCCCAGGUCGGUGGCGGUAGAGGAGGCGACUCCACCGCGGGGGGCGAGGGCGGGGCGGGGCCGAGCCGAGGGGAGGGCCGGCCCGCCGUCUGUCGCCGCGGCUGCCGGGCGCGCGGCGCAGGGCUCUGGCCAGAAGAGCGCGGCGGCAGCGUCAGGGCCACCGCCACCGGACCAGACAAAACCGGCUGGCCGACCCCAGGGCGCAGGCGCGGCGGCUCGCGGCGCGGCUUGGGCACGGGCAGUGCGCAGUCGCGACGGGGCCGCUAGAAGCGGGGGAGGGGGGGAGGGGGCGUCUGCGCCUGCGCACCCCUCCGGCUGUGGUCUGCUGCCUUGGCCGCCCUUCCACGCCUGUGUCUGCCCACCCGCGCAUCUACCCGACGCUUAAGAUUUGUGACGCUGAGCAAGCACGUCUACUUCCUGUGCUCAUGAAACCUGCAGAGUCGCAGGGGAGGGGUCAUGUGUUACUGAAUAAAUGCCCAGUUCGGCAGAGCAGCUGAGAAAAUGGGGUGGUGGUUGACUGCCAGUUUUAGACUGGGGACAGGGAGUCGGGAAAUGCUCAACAGGCUGUAAUCGGGAUCUGAAGAUCCACAAGGAUGGUUCUUUCUCCUGCCUGUGACCAAGAAAUGGGCUGGUGUGUCCCUGAUUUCACUCCUGCUGCUUUUAAUCACGUGUCCACCGCAGACAAGGGCCCCUGAAUCAUAGCUGCCAGUCUGGAGAGUGGAGAGGGCGCUGAC